UGAUGCAAAAGGUCUCUGAUUGAAGCCUGGAAGCGGCUCAUGAAGUCCUCAGACUAAACAAGCGGCGAAGAAAACACCGGAGGGAGAAAAGUAAACAUGUUCAAACACUGCAUCAUCAUCCAGCUGCGUCUCAUCUAAGUAACAAUCGUGUUCUUCUGCAUGAGGAGGUAAUAACACGACACGAGGAGUUAAGCUGAGCUGCUUUGAGAAGCUGAAUUCAGAUGGUGCCAUAGAGUGAUUCCUGACAUCUAGCACCAUUUGAAAUCAGUGUUCUCCAGGCUGUGCGGACGUCCAGCCCAAACACAUAAUCCCUCCUCGGUGGAAGAGUGACAUUUUGAUUGAAGGGAAUGAAUUUUACUGUGAUGGAUAUAUGUGUUAUUUGUUUACUUGCUUUUUUUUUAAUUUGGUAAAUUACUGUAAUGUGAAUUUGUUUCUCAAAUUCAUCAAUAAAGCAGAUUGAUCAUUA